UCCUCAUUAAGGCACCCAGUCCAUCACAGAUACAGAGCCUCAAGAGCUUUUCAGCGCUGGGAGGAGCUGCUCCACCUGCCCCGGCACAAACCAGGCUACCCUGGGAGCCCACUCCUUGGAGACGCACACUGAGGGCAGUAAUGCUGUUGUGGGGCUCUGCUUCCUUGAAGCAAGAAAAGCCACUGCAGAGACAGGAGGAGCUAACCUGGUGUCAUGUGGAGGAUCUGGGUAUGUCAGAUUCUGGAAUACAUUUAAGAAGCAACUUCUGGCUGAAUUCUUGGCUCAUGGUGGAGUUGGAUCCAUUAUUAUGUCUACUGAUAGGUCAAACCGAUACCUCGCCACAGGAGAUCUGGAUGGACAGCUGAAAAUUUGGGUUAUAGAAGAGUACUGUCUUAAUUCCAGUAAGAGCAAAAUCACCCAGGCCCCAGCUCUGAUACGAUCAUUCCGC
rnacentral:lncRNA from 1 species